CUUGUGGGGACCAGGAAAACUACCAGGGUUGAGGGCCCAGGUUACCAGAGUCCUAGACGGACCCAAAGAACCAGAGCAGCCUAGGUCAGCUCGGCAGGUCCCAGACAAAGCAUUUCUCAACCUGCCAGCGUGGGAACUGGAGCGGAAUUUGCCCGAAGGUUAAGGCACAAAGUCGACAGAAGCAGGACAGGGCCAUCCGAUGUGACUGCUCAUCUUCGUUGUCAACUCGACAGGACCCAGAGUCAUCAAAAGGACAAACCUCUGGGCAAGUUUGCCAGGGCUCCGGUGGGGAGACACAUCCUCACUGUCCCCUGGCCUCACACCUGGCUGGGGACUAAGUAAAAAGAAUCGAGCUGAGCACCAACCAGCGUUCAUGGCACUCUGCUUCCUGACUGUGGAGGCCACAGGACCCAGCCUCGAGCCACAAUAAACUCUUCCUUCUUAGGUCGCCUUUGUUAUAGCAAUGAGAAAAGAAACAGAAUCCAGAGGCCUAGACUUCUCAUCCGCUCCAGCCACCCCUGGGGACAUUUGCUAGCCCUAGAGAAGCGUCUUCGUUUGUACCGAGCAGCCCUUAACAAGCCCUGCAAGGCCUCCUCCUCCACAGCUGUUAUCACCAGGACCCACGGAAGUGUUAUCUCCAGCAAGGAGACUGCCACGAGCAUCAGAUUGCCCAGCUGUGGGCUUCCCCCAGCGGCUCUGAUUGUCAAGUCAAAUAAAAGGAAGCUAAGCCAGA